rnacentral:rRNA from 1 species
UACGGAGGGGGCUAGCGUUGUUCGGAAUCACUGGGCGUAAAGCGCGCGUAGGCGGACUGAUUAGUUGGGGGUGAAAGCCCGGAGCUCAACUCCGGAACUGCCUUCAAUACUGUCAGUCUUGAGGUCGAGAGAGGUAAGUGGAAUUCCGAGUGUAGAGGUGAAAUUCGUAGAUAUUCGGAAGAACACCAGUGGCGAAGGCGACUUACUGGCUCGAUUCUGACGCUGAGGUGCGAAAGCGUGGGGAGCAAACAGG